GCCGGGGUGGUGAAACUGGUAGACACGCAGCCUUGAGGUGGCUGUGGGAGAAAUCCCGUGGGGGUUCAAGUCCCUUCUUCGGCA
rnacentral:tRNA from 1 species